ACUAGAUAUGUAUGCGCUAUCCAUUUUUUUUUUUUUUUUGGAAUCAGUGAACCUAGUUAAUACAUAGAUUUCAGAUGACGUCACCACAGUCCCAGGAUUCCCUUGUCCGCCAUCUUGUGUGUCACGACCAGCAAUUGGAAACCCAUAUACGGCUAGCUGUCCACUGCUUUUACUGCGUUUAAUUGUUUUUAAUAGAUCAAGUAGUCGAAACUACCGGAUCGCUUUCAUGGCCCAAUACACAUAAGUUGUUUGUGGGCACAACUUUGAACUUUUGCAUGUAUGUCAACUUAAUUUCAACUAAACACAUGAAGCCGACGCUCUUUUGAAACAUAUUUUCAACUCACUCCAAUGUAAAUCGUAGAAGUGCAUCACACUGUGACUGUCACUUCUCUGGAGCAGUGUUUUUUUUUUUUUUGUUUUGUUUGUUUUUUUUAUUAAUGAAAUCGUGACGGUUACGUUUACAACAGCACCAGAAACACAAUAAAACACCGUUAUUUUUUUCAUUUAUUUAGCAUGUUAAAAUUGCGGUUUCACUCAUACAAUCAACACACGUUAAAGUCACAGUCACACACAGUGUUUGGUCGUUCAAGAGCAAAAUGGCAUUAAUGCAAUUUCGGCUCUCUUAUUUUUUGAAAUUGUAUUUUUCAAAGGCACUGUCGUCAAGGCGCCGCUGUCCAGAUCAGAUAUUCCAUCUUCAUUUCUGUCCGUGCACUUGUUAUUGUUAUCUCGCUUGAAAUCGUGAAAUAAUCCAACAUUUGGAUGACGGCCGAUUGAUGGUGAAAUGCAUGUUAUGUGCACUUGCGGACGUUCAGAUAUCAAAGGUAAACAUUGUAUAUAUUUGCAAAAAAAAAAAAAAAAAAACCAUGACAUUUUUACGACCUGCGGGUUCCCUGAAAAAGACACACGAGAGAGGAAAGCGCAGCCUUUUCUGUUUUGAAAUUCUCAACUGGGGUCCGUGUGCCACGAUGACAGCGCCCCCAAAGAGGCCAUAUCACAUAAAAAUGACUUUUUUUAUGGCAUUUAUCAAACAGUUGCGCCAGCCUAGUCGUACGACGCGACGCUAAAAGGCAAAGUGCAACACCGACAGCGCGGGGAUGAAGUGCUGCCUCCACCAGGGAAAACCCGUCGUGCUUUUAUGAUCCUUAAUUGAGGCGGGCGUGCGACUUCGUCACGGUAACUGUAAAGCCGAUUUCACAUUGGCAUAACCCAGGUCGUGGGACUUAACAAAGGCACAUAUUGGAAAGAAAGAAAAAUAUUCAAUAUGCGAGGGAUUUACCACCGAUAUGCACCCCCCCCCCAAAAAAAAAAAACAAAACAAAACAGGAAAACCAUAUUUUGAAAAAUUGGGGAAGGGACUCUUUAAAUAGUUGAAUCUGAUGGCGCCGAACUGCGAAUAUGCAAGGGGGCGCUCUGUCAUUUAUUUAUCAAUGCAUAAAACUUGUACAUGUGACAUCACCGUUUUCACGGCGCCAUAUUGCAGGUCAAACAUUGUGGGAGACGCUGAACCGGAGCAGAAUAUUUACAAUACCCGAGACAUGUUGUGCUCUUGGUUGUCGCGACAGUUCUUCAGAGAGAUCAUUCAUCUGAAGAGACCAGAAAAUAUCGAUGGAUUUCGGCCAUAAAACGUGAUGGAUGGAUGGUGCCCAACCAAAAUAUGCACAUGACGGUGUCGCGAGCAAUUCACUUCAGGAUCGUCCACCUGUGUCGCCGGCGCAGCGACGGCGGCCUGGUGAUCCUGAAGGAGAUCCCGGUGGAGCAGAUGUCCCGGGACGAGCGCCUGGCCGCUCAGAACGAGUGCCAGGUCCUGAAGCUGCUCAACCACCCCAAUAUCAUCGAGUACUACGAGAACUUUCUGGAGGACAAGGCGCUCAUGAUCGCCAUGGAGUACGCGCCGGCCCCCGGUGCCAGUUUGGACUUGGCGCGGGGCACCGAAACGUUGCCAAAAAGCACACAAGUUUUCGUAGCCCUGGAAACCAUUUUCUGUUGCCACGCAGGCGGCACCCUGGCCGACUACAUCCAGAAGCGCUGCAACUCUCUGCUGGACGAGGACACCAUCCUUCACUUCUUUGUGCAGAUCCUGCUGGCGCUGUACCACGUGCACAACAAGCUUAUCCUGCACAGGGACCUCAAGACGCAGAACAUUCUGCUGGACAAGCACCAGAUGAUCGUCAAGAUCGGCGACUUCGGCAUCUCCAAAAUCCUCGUCAGCAAAAGCAAAGCCUACACGGUGGUCGGGACGCCGUGUUACAUCUCUCCGGAGCUGUGCGAGGGAAAGCCGUACAACCAGAAGAGCGACAUCUGGGCUCUGGGCUGCGUCCUGUACGAGCUGGCGAGCCUGAAGAGGGCCUUCGAAGCCGCCAAUCUCCCCGCCCUGGUGCUGAAGAUCAUGAGCGGCACCUUCGCCCCCAUCUCGGACCGCUACAGCCCCGACCUGCGUCAGCUCAUCCUCAACAUGCUCAACCUGGAUCCCUCCAAGCGGCCUCAGCUCAACGAAAUCAUGGCGCUCCCGAUCUGCAUCCGUCCGCUGCUCAACCUCUGCACGGACAUCGGCAACGUCAAGAUGCGCCGGAUCGAGAAACCGCUGUCCACCGUGCAGACCGGUCCUCAAGGCAGAACUGCAGGGAGAGUACCGACCGGCAGGUCCAGAGACGGCUGUGGCGCCGGCAAGCUGCACUCGCUCCCGCUGUCGUCGGUGUACACGUGGGGCAGCGGCAUCUCCGCCCCGCUGCGUCUGCCCAUGCUCAACACCGAAGUCCUGCAGGUGUCGCUGGGGCGCACGCAGAAGAUGGGCGUGACCAAGUCGGGCCGCCUCAUCACUUGGGAGGCGCCCUCGGCGGCGUCCGCCGAGGUCAGUCUGCCCGGAGUGGUGGAGCAGAUGCAGCCGCAGUUCAUCUCGCGCUUCCUGGAGGGUCAGUCCGGGGUCACCAUCAAGUCGGUUUCCUGCGGCGACCUCUUCGCCGCCUGCAUGACAGACCGAGGCAUCGUCAUGACCUUCGGAAGUGGAAGCAAUGGCUGCCUUGGUCAUGGGAACUUCAACGACGUCACACAGCCCAAGAUCGUGGAGGCGCUCCUCGGCUACGAGCUGGUGCAGGUGUCGUGCGGCGCAUCCCACGUUCUCGCCAUGACCAACGAACGAGAAGUCUUCGCCUGGGGGAGAGGAGACAACGGUCGCCUCGGCCUGGGCGCCCGGGACACCCGCAACUGUCCCCGGCAGGUGUGUUUGCCCAGCCGCUUUGAGCCGCAGAAGGUUCUGUGCGGCGUGGACUGCUCCAUGAUCAUCAGCGCCGGGAACAGAAUUGUGGCGUGUGGGAGCAACAGGUUCAACAAGCUCGGUCUGGAUAAGAUCACGUCGGGCGAGGAGCCAAGUUCCUGCAACCAGGUGGAGGAGGUGAACUCCUUCUCGCCCGUCCAGUCGGCGCCGCUCAACAAGGAGAAGAUUGUCUGCAUCGACAUCGGCACGGCGCACUCGGUCGCCGUCACAGAGAGCGGCCAGUGUAUCACUUUUGGCAGCAACCAACACGGGCAAAUGGGGUGCAGUUCCCGGCGGGGUAGCCGCGCUCCUUACUCGGUGCCCAACCUGCACGGCAUCACCAUGGCGGCCUGCGGAGACGCUUUUACCCUGGCCAUCAGGUCUGGGUGUUCAUUGCGCCAGUGAUCGACUCCCCCGGUGUGAAAGUCGGCAGCGGCCCACCUGCCUCCCUGCACCUCCUGCCCAUCACGGGUCGCCUUUGUUGGCAGACGGCGCCAUUGUGUCGCCACUGCAGGAGAGAUGAGCGACAUUUGUGUGCGUGUGUUUGUGUACCUGCACAUGCCUGGUUUUCGGGAACGCGCGUCGGAUCACGGAGGCAAUUUGAGACUCAAAUGAUGGCCCAAGACGGCGAAGUGUACACGUGGGGAAAGGGCGCCCGCGGACGCCUGGGAAGGAAAGAGGAGGACUCGGGGGUACCGAAGGCGAUACAGCUGGACGAGAGCCACCCGUUCACCGUGACGUCGGUGGCUUGUUGUCACG